AUCAUAUUUCAGUUGCUGCAUUUUAUAUGUGUUUUUAGAAAUUGCAUAAAUUCCAAUUUUUCAGCCUGUUCCUCUCACUUUAAGAAGUUUUUUUUUGGCUGUUGCAGUUCUUGCCCUUCUCAGCCACCGUGUGCAUACAGAUUCAAAUAUUGUGAUUCGAUUUUGUUAACGCUGUAUUUGAGUAAAUGUGCACAUGCAGACCGCAGCAUUGGCUCUAGUGUGGUUUGAUUAUAAGCUGCACAAAUAUACGCACUAAGCUCCUGACAACUUCCUCCAAAGAGUCAGGACUAACGGCAGGACUUUGACCAGUAUUUCCUAACAAUUCUCCUCAAGAAGUCCGGGUGAGCAGAUGUUAAUUUGCUGUAUUUAUAGAUAUAUGAAUAUAGAUUUCCACGUUUGACUCACGUUUGAACAUCAGCUCCAGCUCAGCAGGUCGAGUGUGUCGCUCCUCUCUGCUCCUCUCUGCUCCUGUCUUUGUUUCUCGGUGAUUUUACACACUGACUGAGCGUACAGCUAGCUAACUCAGUGACCUUGUUACGGAGCCUGGAGGCUACACACUCAUACACACUCACAGACACACACAGACAGACACACACUUGCACGCACGGAUGGACACACUUGGAGUCAUGUUGCCUAAUGUCGUCUCCAAUCUUCAUGUUCUUCUAAUGUGUGUUUUCUCCUCUUCUUCUCCUCUUCUUCCUCUUCUAUCACUUUUUUUCCCCUGUCAGCUUUACUCUCGUUUUUCUUGCCCCAGUUUGUCACAUUUCUUUCCCAUACUUUUGCAUGAAAUACAUCUUUUACCAGCCCUUCUCUGAACGUUUGCAUAAAGAAAUUUGUGCUGAAUAAAUAUAAAUCAAACGUAAACAGACAUAUUGUUCGUGCAUUUGAAAAAUUUAAAUAUUUGAAUGUUUUAUUUUCCACAGUAAAUCACGUGAACUUUGAUGCAUUAGAUUUAUUUUAUUUUCUUGAAAUAAUGCAGACAACAGUUUUAGUGUUUUCUUCAUACUGUUUAUUUAUAUCUUAAAAACAAACACAGACAGACACCCUUCACCUGAGCGGACACUAACACCUGGUGCAGAGGAUCACAGCAGCCCUGCGGAGGAUGUUUACUCGCACGGACACGGUUGUCAUUCAUCGACCGGCGAGUUGACAGAAUCGCAAACCCACCGACAGCGAUGAAUGUGAACCGGACACCUGCGCAGGAGCAGGAGGAGUGCACCGCGGAGAAGAAAUUAUAGAGGGAGAACCGAAGGAGACAAACAUGCUGUGAUUUUAGAAAAACAGUCAAAGAAACAAAAAGGAAAGAAGAAGUCAGAGAUGAAGCGCCUUGAUGAAACAGUUAUUUCUGUUUGUAGUAAUAUUUGAGUGUUUUAUCAUUUUUAAGUUGCAAACCCAAAGAUCUGCAGGUAAUUUAAGCAAAGUUCACUCCAUACAUCCUGAUAUCAUUCACCUGCAC